CAUGUCUUUUUGAUUAUAAUUUAAAGUCUGGCCUGCUCAAUGAAUAUUAAAUAGCCGCAGUAUAUUGACUGUGCAAAGGUAGCAUAAUCAUUAGUUUUUUAAUUGAAAGCUGGAAUGAAUGGUUUAAUAAGAAAAAUUCUGUCUCAUUUUUAAUUUUAAAAUUUUAUUUUUAAGUUAAAAAGCUUAAAUAAAUUAAAAAGACGAGAAGACCCUUUAGAGUUUUAUAAAAAAUAAUUAAUUAUUAUUAAGAUUUAAAUUUAAAAUUGGUUUUUAUUAUUUUAUUGGGGUGAUAUAAAAAUUUAAGUAACUUUUUAUUUAUUUAAUCAUUAAUUUAUGUGUGAAUGAUCUUGAUUUUUGGAUUAUAAGAAUAAUUACCUUAGGGAUAACAGCGUAAUUUUUUUUGAGAGUUCUUAUCGAAAAAGAAGUUUGCGACCUCGAUGUUGGAUUAAAAUUUAAUUUUGGCGUAGAAGUUAAAAAUUUAGGUCUGUUCGACCUUUAAAAUU
rnacentral:rRNA from 1 species